GUUUUCUGACCUCGUUGGAUACUUGUGAGUUCCAUAUAUAUCUGGAGUGACAACUCGAGUCCAAAGAGUGAAGCCAAAAAUGGAUCUAUUGGACGUCAGUUUCAGUCCCUUUCUGUUGUUUUUGUCCGCGCGGUCUGCAAGGAAUUUGCUGAAAUUUCAUGUUUUGAUUUCGAUUUAAAGAACGAUACUAUGGUUUUAUAAAAUUAUAACUUGAUUGCGAUAUGGUCCGUUAGGGAAAUGGUAUGGUAUUAAAACUGUUUAUACGAUCUCCAUAGCUAUUGGAAUGAUAGAACAUCAAUUCCGCCACCUUGUCUUUUCCGCUCUAAAAAACUCCUAGUGAAAAUAUCAGUAUGGUCUCUUUUUAUGCAUGAAACGUUCACACAUGGACUAUUUUUCGCGCGUGUCAGGAUGGCAAACGUUUUCGUGCGUGUUACUUUUCGCUCAGUUUUAUUUUCGUGCAAAUGCUACUACCACGCGAGUUUAAGUACAAGUAGGGUAUAUCAAAAUAUAAUUUCAUUUAACACAUUCUACGCGAACAGAGCAAGAUAGAGGAAGUAAUUGAACUAAUAAUUUAUUUUAAAAACAAUUUAAUCUAAUAGUGAGAACGGAAAUUUUUUCCAGUAGUUUAAUUUAAACUAUAACAUUCGUUCAUAUUGUUAUUAUAUUCCUAAUAUUUUUAUAUUACUAAAUUAAUAUUAUUUUGAUAUUACUAAAUUAACAUUAUUUCAUAUUAUUUUGACGACAAAGUGAAAAUCAAUUUUGGGUGUUUAAAAUUUAUCAUGUGAUUCUUCACCGCAUAUAUUUGGGAAUUGUUAUAAAAUAUAUAUAUAUAUUUCGUGUAUAUAGCAUAUUUUUAUUAACUUAAUUUACAUCAUGUAAUAUACAAACAUAAAUACACAUCAGAUGGUUCUAGAAAUUUAUUUAAAAAACAAAAAUGUAAAAUGAUCUUGUAAUUAGAAGAAAAUGAAAUGAACCUUGUAUAUUAAUGUCUUUGUUGUGUCAACACGUGAAACCCGGAGGAGGGGGCAGCACCGAGAUUACAGGACUGCAGGGGCCAGUUGUU